AUUUUGCCUCACAAAAAGCAGCUGCUGUGUGUGUGAUUUCUGGGAACCCUUGCAAUACCUCGCAAUACUUCGUGUGCUCUAGUGACAUUUAAAUAUACGUUAUUUUCAGGAAACUGAACUGGGCUCUUUCCUUACUUUCUCUGAAGGGUUUUAUAAUUAUUUUAUAAUUACUGAAGAUAAUUAUUAACAAAAGGUGUACUCAGAUGAUUAAUGUAAUCUCUCUGCUUAACCUAUACUCCUAUCCAAGUAAACAUUUAUUUCUUGUUUAAAUUAAGAGCAAAUAAAAGCCUACGUUGUGUAACCUGAAGAAAAAUUGAAACAGGAGCAGCUCAAGUUUUCCCCAAAUUAAAUUUCUGUGGUAUUUUGACCUAUUCUGCAAGUCCUCUCAACUCUCCUCUUUGAAAUGCAAGCAAGGUUAACGAAGAAGAAUAAAACUCUGAGAUGGAAGUGCUGUGCCAUUGCUACUAAAGAAGCCCUGACCACCCCACAGCUCAUUGACUGAAGCCUGACCUUGCUACAUUCAUGACCCGCACAGUGCCCCAACCAAGCUUUGUUUGGUCUCCAGACAAAAAAAUCUACAUUAAAUGGACCAAAAAGGAAGAAGUCUGAAAAUUGGCAGCUAUCAGCAAAUUGAAGACAGGGAAACUUUCAGAAGCAUUUGCUUUCUAAGAUGCUGUUGGCUGCAGUCUUCUUGAUAUGAGAAUUUUAUUUGCUUCUUGCAUUUUGUUGGAAGCUUUUGACUGAGAAUACAAGAAAAAAAUAUUUGAAUUGCUUUUGGAUUUCUUACAGAGGUUUUAUCUUAUUUUUAAAAUCUGUGAGCUGGAUGUGAAUUUCAUUCCUUCUCAUUUUUCCUUUUGCCGCUGAAUAUGUUUGUAUCCAGCACAAAGUGGAAUGCAAAAUAAUUGAGUAAUUUGUAAUACUGAAUAUUAAUACUGAAAAUAACACAACCCCCAAUAUUCUCAGCAGUUCCAUUUGUAACUAAAGAUUUGACCUGUAGUAGAGAUAACAGAGUAUUUUGAUAUUCUCAGAGUUCUAUGUUUGCAUUAAAACUUUAAAAAUCUGUCCCAAUCUGCUGAGAUUUUUACUUCAUGAUGAUUUAUUCUCAAUGACACCUUAGUUUUC
rnacentral:lncRNA from 1 species